GACGAACGCUGGCGGCGUGCUUAACACAUGCAAGUCGAACGGAAAGGCCCUGCUUUUGUGGGGUGCUCGAGUGGCGAACGGGUGAGUAACACGUGAGUAACCUGCCCUUGACUUUGGGAUAACUUCAGGAAACUGGGGCUAAUACCGGAUAGGAGCUCCUGCUGCAUGGUGGGGGUUGGAAAGUUUCGGCGGUUGGGGAUGGACUCGCGGCUUAUCAGCUUGUUGGUGGGGUAGCGGCUUACCAAGGCUUUGACGGGUAGCCGGCCUGAGAGGGUGACCGGCCACAUUGGGACUGAGAUACGGCCCAGACUCCUACGGGAGGCAGCAGUGGGGAAUAUUGCACAAUGGGCGGAAGCCUGAUGCAGCAACGCCGCGUGCGGGAUGACGGCCUUCGGGUUGUAAACCGCUUUCGCCUGUGACGAAGCGUGAGUGACGGUAAUGGGUAAAGAAGCACCGGCUAACUACGG
rnacentral:rRNA from 1 species